CACAUCAGCGCGCUUUACUGACGUGCACACAAAUCGCGCUUUCUUUGACUCGCUUUGUUGCCACGUCAGUAAAGCGCGCUGACGUGG
rfam:Gossypium raimondii Chr11_contig_176, whole genome shotgun sequence.